AGAGUUUGAUCAUGGCUCAGGAUGAACGCUAGCUACAGGCUUAACACAUGCAAGUCGAGGGGUAGCAGGGUAGCAAUACCGCUGACGACCGGCGCACGGGUGAGUAACACGUAUCCAACCUUCCCAUAACUCAGGGAUAGCCUUUCGAAAGAAAGAUUAAUACCUGAUAGUACUUUUUCAAGGCAUCUUAGAAAAAAGUUAAAGAUUUUAUUGGUUAUGGAUGGGGAUGCGUUCCAUUAGAUAGUUGGUGAGGUAACGGCUCACCAAGUCUUCGAUGGAUAGGGGUUCUGAGAGGAAGGUCCCCCACAUUGGUACUGAGACACGGACCAAACUCCUACGGGAGGCAGCAGUGAGGAAUAUUGGUCAAUGGGCGAGAGCCUGAACCAGCCAAGUAGCGUGAAAAGGAUGAAGGUCCUAUGGAUUGUAAACUUCUUUUAUAGUAGAAUAAAGUGAGCCACGUGUGGUUUUUUGUAUGUAUACUAUGAAUAAGGAUCGGCUAACUCCGUGCCAGCCGCCGC
rnacentral:rRNA from 1 species